GAUCAUGGCUCAGGAUGAACGCUGGCGGCGUGCCUAACACAUGCAAGUCGUACGAGCUCGAUCUUCGGAACGGGUUAGUGGCGCACGGGUGAGUAACACGUAGGUGACCUACCCCAGAGUGGGGGAUAACUUCUCGAAAGAGAGGCUAAUACCGCAUACACUCGGUCAUUCAUUUGGCCGAGCAAAGCUCUGGCGCUUUGGGACGGGCCUGCGUCCGAUUAGCUAGUUGGUAGGGUAAUGGCUUACCAAGGCUUUGAUCGGUAGCUGGUCUGAGAGGACGAUCAGCCACACUGGCACUGACACACGGGCCAGACUCCUACGGGAGGCAGCAGUGAGGAAUAUUGGGCAAUGGGCGAAAGCCUGACCCAGCAACGCCGCGUGAGGGAUGAAGGCCUUCGGGUUGUAAACCUCUUUUCUGGGAGAAGAGACAAGGACGGUAUCCCAGGAAUAAGUCUCGGCUAACUACGUG
rnacentral:rRNA from 1 species